rnacentral:tRNA from 1 species
GGGGUUGUGGCUCAGCGGUAAAGUGCUCCUCUAGCAUGUGUGAGGCCCUGAGUUUGAGCCUCAGCACCACA